CCUACGGGAGGCAGCAGUCGAGAGGCUUUGGCAAUGGGGGAAACCCUGACCAAGCGACGCCGCGUGGAGGAUGAAGGCCCUUGGGUUGUAAACUCCUUUUGUCGGGGAAGAAAUGCGAUCAGGUGAACAAUCUGGUCGUUUGACGGUACCCGGCGAAUAAGCUCCGGCUAACUCCGUGCCAGCAGCCGCGGUAACACGGGGGGAGCAAGCGUUGUUCGGAAUCACUGGGCGUAAAGGGCGUGUAGGCGGUCAGGUAAGUGGAAUGUGAAAUGCCCCGGCUCACCCGGGGACCUGCAUCCCAAACUGCCUGGCUUGAGUAUGGGAGAGGAUGAGGGAAUUCCUGGUGUAGCGGUGAAAUGCGUAGAUAUCAGGAGGAACACCGGUGGCGAAAGCGCUCAUCUGGCCCAAUACUGACGCUGAGGCGCGAAAGCUAGGGGAGC
rnacentral:rRNA from 1 species